CAAGCAAUGAAUGAGUGGAGAGCCCAUGCAGCUAAGAAAUCUGUUCCAUGCCCCACAGCUUGUGACUGUGGGACUCUGUGGACAUGAAACCUGGCUUGUAACUUCACACCUUGAUUGGGUUAGCAAGCUAGUCUGAAGCUCAAGACGACAUGAAGCCCUACAGAGUCUGGUUCUCCCCGCUCCCUGUUCUACAUUGCUGGCUCUGACUUGGAUGGCAUUAAACUUGCCAGCUGAUGUCUUCUAGAAA
rnacentral:lncRNA from 1 species